rnacentral:lncRNA from 10 species
UCCUGAGUAGCUGGGACUAGAGGUGCCCGUCACCACGCCCGGCUAAUUUUCAUAUAUUUAGUAGAGACGUGGUUUCACCACGUUGGCCGGAUGGUCGCGAUCUCCUGACCUCGUGAUCCGCCCGCGUCAGCCUCCCAAAAUGCUGGGAUUGCAGGCGUGAGCCACCGCGCCCGGCCUACACUUUCUUACACCCACUCGGAGUUCGUCUGUGGAGAGCAGCCCCUGACUGAACUAAUGCGGCAGAAAUGAAGACUCAAUUUAUAUCAGCCUACAUUGCUGAGGAGUGUGGGAGAGAAUAUGACAGCCACACACUUCAAAGGUGGAAAAUAGAGGGACAAGUGUUAGUUUACUUGCCAGGAGAGGUCUGAAGCCUACUUUGGAAUGCAGGGAAGCAGAUGCCAAGGGGAUAGGAGGGAAGAACACUUGUGAAAGAUGAAGGGGAAAAGAAGCAUGCUUCUGUGGAAAACACUUUCAAGUUCAUUAGAUCAAACUUGUUGAGAAUGGCUGACAUCUGAGAAUCAAACCAACACUCCUCAGCAUUGAGUCAAAAAGUCACAGAAGGCAAGAGAUCCUUAUCCUUCAAGGCAAGAGAGAUGGAGCUAUUGGAAUAUUCUUUUUCCUUGAUCAAAAUAUCCUUCAUCGGGGAAAUAUUCUCUUGCAAAAAUACCACAGCUGUCUGGUAAGCCAUUUAUGACACAGCCUUAAACCCUUUGAAGGUAAGUAACACAAUUUGAUGUAUAUAUUCAUUUGUCAUUUAUAAACUAUUUUAUAGUUGCCCUAUUUCCUCAAAAAGAGUACUGCUUCAUGGCAGAAAAUAUGUAAGCUCUUUCUCUCUUCUACAAUGCCUGGCAGAAUAUUGGAUAUUUGGAAACAUAAAUAUCUGUGUUUUGAAUACCUCAAUGUUGUAAUCUGUGAGACUCAUUCUAGAAAACCACUAAAGUGCUAUUUUGAUGAUUAUUGCAAUUUUAUUUGAAAGCAUUGCUAAAAUGGACUAAUUAUGAUAUUUUGGGAGUUUUUUUCUAAAUUGUUUUCUCAUUUCCCAUCUUCAUAAGAUGCAGUAUGACUAAAUAAUAUUCACGAUCCCAUUUUGAACAAGAAAAAUAAAAUGCAUCUUGGUGUUCAAUUAAAUUACAAAUGACUUCAAGGUGUCAAUGUCUUUUUGGUUCUAGAAAAGACUUUCAAAUUAUACUGCUUAACAAUGACAUUUAUAAAAUGCUUUAUAUUUUUCAAAAUGCCUUCACAUAAUGAAAUUGUUACUAGCAACUCAAGGUUGCUUUUGAUUCAAUAGAAGAAAUAUUUUGGUAAUGAAAUUUUGCCGCCUCAAAUGUGCAGAAAGCAAAACCAUCUAUUUUAUGCUGCAAAGCAAACCAGGCAUUUUCAAGAAUAGCUAGUAGUCUGACGCUUCUGAAAAAAAGUUACAUAGUACAGGUCUAGAGGGAGUUCUGGAGAACAUUCAAGAAGGGUCUGCAUUGAUUUCGAAAGCAUUAGAAUCCAUCUACUAAAGUCCAUAAUAGAAACUGAGUACUUAAAGCGUCUUUCAAGCCAACAUUUUCCUGCUAGAACAUAUUUUAUUUACAUUGUGAUCACUUCAGAGAACGAAAUAGUGGGUGACAUCAUUCAAAUAUCUCCUUAAAAACAAUUGUUGAUUUUUUCCCCAUAAGUCUACAUUAAAAAAAUUUAAAGAAACUUAAAAAUCUAUUGAAAGUUGAAGUGUUUAUUAUGGUGCUCUGAGCUUGAGUAACUAUAGGUAAAUUUAAAUGAUGUAAUUAUAGCAAUUAAGUGUGGAACUGGUAGGACAUUUCCAGUUUAUUAUAUGUCAUAUAGACAAAUUAAUCAUCACCCAGGAACUUGAAAUGCUGUAAGUGUUGAAUUUUAACAUAUUUUAAAUUGGUGUCUACCUUUAUAUUAGCAGAACUUAUAAUGCUUAAAGUAAACCACCCAGAUGUUUCAAAUGAUUACAUAAACAAAUAAUAUUCCAUAUUAUUAUGAUUUUUCCUGCUUGUAUAUGAUAUACUGUUGAUAAUGCAAUCCGUUAGGAAAAGACAAACGUUUCUAGCAUUGUUCUCCCAGAAUGUUUGAAGUAUUUCUGUUUGUGUGGAUAUGCACUGGACAAUCCAGGUACAUAAAUGAUCAAUGUUGUUCUUUAACAGAGAUCUAAGCCACUGGGGGAGAAUGGAUAGCCUGGUCUGGGGGCUGAUUUUAUGAAGAACUUCUAGGCGUAGAUACAAGAAGUGGGUUCAUAAGCAUCAAGCCCUGCAAGGCAUUGCACGAAUGAAUAAAAUGCCUUUUCAAAGUACUUGGCUAGACUGAGGAUGUAGAGAUGAAGACACACACCUUUCCCCAUAAGAUGGUGAAGUAGAGGGCUGAGAACAGACAUUUAAACCUACCAUGGGGUAAGCAUCAUAACACCCUCUCUCUGUCUUGCCCUCAUUAGCCUGGGCCUUUUGUGGCAUAAGUGACUUCUGUUGUGUAGAUGAAGUCAGUCCAAAGCUCCUUGGAACUUGGGCCAGAAUGUUGUGAGUUUGAAUGCUGCUUGCCACUUUCAGAUGUGUAACAUUGGAUAAGUUUCUUUAUUUCUCUUAUCUCCUCAAGUGUAAAGUCUGGGUAAUAUACCCUUGUAAAAAUCAUAAUAUUGAACCUAAGGAGUUUAACACAUUCAUUUAACACAUUCAUAAAUUAGAUUAAGAACUCAAAACAAGUUGACUACUAAUACAAUUAUUAUAAUUGCUAAACUUUAGUCUUCCUACAUUUUUCUCUGUUAUCUCACAUUUAAUCUGUUAAUAUGUCUCUAUCUGUCUCUACUUAAUUUUAGUGUUGUAAGAACCAGAUAAUAGUCAAUGCUGGUUUUUCCUCACCUUUGUGGAUCUUUGAAGAACAUGACAAAAACAAGCAAUGUGGAAAGAAUUCCCUAAUGAAUAACUGUUUUUGGGAAAACUGACUACCCAUAUGCAGAAAACUGAAACUGGACCCCUUCCUUGCACCUUAUACAAAAAUUAACUCAAGAUGGAUUAAAGACUUAAACGUAAGACCUAAAGCCAUAAAAACCCUAGAAGAAAACCUAGCAAUACCAUUCAGGACAUAGGCAUGGGCAAAGACUUCAUGACUAAAACACCAAAAGGAAGGGCAACAAAUGUCAAAAUAGACAAAUGGGAUCUAAUUAAACUAAAAAAACUUCUGCACAGCCAAAGAAACUAUCAUCAGAGUAAACAGGCAGCCUACAGAGUGGGAGAAAAUUUUUGCAAUCUAUCAAUCUGACACAGGGCUAAUAUCCAGAAUCUACAAGGAACUUAAACAAAGUUACAAGAAAAUAACAAACAACCACGUCAAAAAGUGGGCAAAGGAUAUGAACAGACACUUCUCAAAGGAAGACAUUUAUGCGGUCAACAAACACAGGAAAAAAGUCUCAUCAUCUCUGGCCAUUAGAGAAAUGCAAAUCAAAACCACAAUGUGAUAGCAUCUCACACCAGUUAGAAUGGCGGUCAUUAAAAAGUCAGGAAACAGAUGUGGAGAGGAUGUGAAGAAAUAGGAACACUUUUACACUGUUGGAGGGAGUGUAAAUUAGUUCAACCAUCGUGGAAGACAGUGUAGCAAUUCCUCAAGGAUCUUGAACCAGAAACACCAUUUGACCCAGCAAUCCCGUUACUGUGUAUAUACCAAAAGGACUAUAAAUCAUUCUACUAUAAAGACACGUGUACGUGUAUGUUUAUGGCAGCACUGUUCACAAUAGCAAAGACUUGAAACCAACCCAAAUGACCAUCAAUUAUAGACUGGAUAAGGAAAAUAUGGCACAUAUACACCAUGGAAUACUAUGCAGCCAUAAAAAAAGAGAUGAGUUCAUGUCCUUUGCAGGGACAUGGAUGAAGUUGGAAACCAUCAUUCUCAGCAAACUAACACAGGAACAGAAAACCGAACACCGCAUGUUCUCACUCAUAAGUGAGAAUUGAACAAUGAGAACAUAUGGACAGAGGGAGGGGAACAUCACACACUAGGGCUUGUCAGAGGCUAAGGCCUAGGGGAGGGAUAGUGUUAAGAGAAUUACACAAUAUAGAUGAUGGGUUGAUGGGUGCAGCAAACCACCAUGGAACAUGUAUACCUAUGUAACAAACCUGCACAUUCUGCACAUGUAUCCCAGAACUUAAAGUAUAAUAAUAAAAAAAUACAGAAAAAAAUAGUCAAUGCAACAACUUGGAUUUUGUUUCCUGUUUAGAAGGUUUUUUUUUUCCUUUGUACUGAGAAAAUUGAAGAAGUAUUGGCUUAUAGUCUAAACCUAGAAAAGACUACACUUCACCUGAAAAACUGCCAGCCAAGGCCUUCAUAUCUAGUGAUUUGACUAUGGUUCAAUUAUUAACACAGAAAGGAAGAAACUAACAAAAUCCAGUGUCUUAAUAAAGCAAUACAUCACUGUCAAAUAGCAUAUGGAGAACCACACCAAUAAG